ACACUUACCUGGCAGGGGAGAUGCAUUAAUCAACAAAGUGGUUCUCUCAGGGCAUGGCUCUACCAUUAGACUUUUUUGUAUCUGACCUCUGUGAACCCCCCAAGUGUGCAUAAUGUCUGGUAGUGGGUGACUCUUUUCAGUUUCUCACCUG
ensembl:snRNA U1 U1 spliceosomal RNA